ACUAUAGCCGAAAUAAAGAACGGCAGUAGCAAGGGAAGAUGAUGAGAUUUUAAAAAACCAGUAAAAUACUGAAAAUAUAAAUACAUAGAUUCCACAAAAUCCAGGUGUUAUGAAAGAGCGCCACCACCAGUUGUAGUUUUCGGAACACAAUUGGAAAUAAACAGUGAUAAUGGAAACCAUGAUACAAGUGGUUACUAAAAUACCGAAGCAAAAGAACGAGAAACCGAACAUGAAAUACAAUGGGUGAAACCAUAAACUGUCAAGGAUAGAAAACAAUUCAAUAAGGAUUACGAGGAAUGGUAUAGAUCCACCGAUAAUCGCACUAGGAAAACUCGAAAGCCAAAUACUAUGAGAUGGAAUUUGACGAGGGAUUUGGUUUGUCCUAACAGGUGGGACGAACUCUCGAGAACGAAAGCCGAUUAAAGAACCGACAAAGCUUAAUGGUACAGUAAACAAUAGAUACAGGAAAAUGAGUAGAAGCCAGCUUGAAAAGGGUACAGUUGAUGAUGAACUUUUACUCCAAAAUACCAUGUUAAAGAAAAGAGCUGCCGCAAGCAUAAAACCAGGUACGACAAAAGGAGUUAACAGAAGAUUUCGCUUUCUAAGCAUACCUUGCAUCAGUUUGUAGGAUAAUGCAGAUACAUAACCAGAAACGAAACCUGAUAUAAUGAAUAAGGCCACCGUUGCUGUAGCUAAACUUCCACGACGAGAGGGUGCAACAAUGCCAAAAAUUGCAAAUAAAACGAUACCAGAGCUCAUAAAAAGAAGUUGUGCACCAGUCCCUAAAAGGAUAGAAAAUAGCAUGGGUCUACGAGGUGGACGAAAUACAUCACCAUGAACUAGCUUCCAACCAAAAUCUUCUUGAACAUCUUCUUGAUCGACAAAGGCGCUAUUAUAUUUAUUAAUGUCACGAUUUAGCGUUCUGUACAAAAUAAUAGAAACCACAAAAAUUAGAAAUGUGUCAAUAAUUGCGGAAUGGAUAAUAAAGAUCCAUCGAAUUUGCCUAGAUUCAAUGUGCAUAUAUUUGUCCCAUCGGGUAGCCCAUGGAGUAUCGGAAUAUUUCCAAGAGACUGAGUAAGAGGUCACGAGAGUAAGAUCAGCUCCUUCCGGUAAAUACUGUGGAUUUGAAGACGAAGAACAAACUGGGUUUCCAUCAACUAAAGUAGACUCCUUUGAGACAGGUUUUACAUAAGCACCCACAACACGGUGUUGGUCACUAGAUGUCGUAUGAUAUUCUAUAACUAUAUCAUAAUGAUUGAAUAGAAUUACUCCCUUCUCCGUAUUCUUGCCUAAUGGAAAGCCUGGCGAUAAUGAGUAGUUCUUUGAGUUAGUCCCUUCUAAAUAUGUUGCUACGGGCAGAUUAUCUAUGUUCCAGUUAACAACGUAGUUUUUGGAGAUUAAAUCUCUAAUAAAACUGACAUCUGAACUGGGAAUUAUCGAGGCACACAAGGGAACACAAUCCUGGUUUUCAAGCAUUUUUAUUUCAAUGGGAGAGUUGUAGAGACGGUCGCCAAAAAGCACACUUCCAAGUGACUCAGAUUGUUUUGCGAUAUUCUCUGGUCGACAGAAGUGGAAACGCUCAUCGUAGUCUAAAGUGAAGUUAG
rnacentral:lncRNA from 1 species